rnacentral:rRNA from 1 species
CCUACGGGUGGCAGCAGUGGGGGAUAUUGCACAAUGGAGGGAACUCUGAUGCAGCGCCGCCGCGUGAGGGAAGAAGGUUUUCGGAUUGUAAACCUCUGUCUUCGGUGACGAAACGAGACGUUAGCCGAGGAUUACGCCUCGGCUAACUACGUGCCAGCAGCCUCGUUAAUACGUAGGUGGCAAGCGUUGUCCGGAAUUACUGGGUUAAAAGGUAGCUUAUGCGGGAAAGCAAGUUGAAUGUUUAAGGUAAGGGAUCAACCUGUACAAGCGUUCAAAACUGUUUUUCUUGAGGGGAGUAGAGGUAAGCGGAAUUCCUAGUGUAGCGGUGAAAUGCGUAAAUAUUAGGAGGAACACCAGUGGCGAAGGCGGCUUACUGGGCUUUAACUGACGCUGAGGCUCGAAAGCGUGGGUAGCAAACAGGAUUAGAUACCCUUGUAGUC